UGGACACUUAUUUAAAAGCAGUUUUUUCUCACACUGAAGAUGAAUCUUUUAAAUGUCCUAGAGAAAUAAAGUUGCUCUCUGUGCACCCUUUCCACAUCAAAAGAAUGCAUAGUUCCAUUACUGACAUUU